UUAUAGUUUCCGAGACCUCAGCGUUCAUACGGACAGAGAGACAGACGAACAUGGCUAGAUCGACUCGGCUAUUGGUCCUAUACACUUUAAGGGUCGAAAAAAACUUUCUUUUACACUUCGAGUACAAAAAGUCAAGAAGGAACGCUAUAGUCGACGGCCUCAGGUAUGAGAUACCCGUUACUCUUAACGAAGGUUAAAAUAAGAAUACUUUCAAUAUGAGAGUUUACACUUUACUUUUUUAUCUACUGGCUGACGUCACUGACGAUGUUCUUGCUAGAUACGGGCGUAAGGUCAUCACUUAUUAACUAAUGGUCCAAUUUAGGCAACUUUCGGCAUGCCGAAAAUGUCGGCGCCACAAUUUUGGGCGUCUUGUGAACGUAGCACCCUGCUGAAAUACACGUGCGCUGCGCCAGAAUCUCUAGAAUCUGCAUGCUUAACCCACAAAUUUAGUGAGCGUUAGAGUGGGCGUGGCCCUCCCAAUACACAAUUCAAUACAAAAGCGUUCGGGGCAAUAAGCUGUGCGAUUUUGAUGAAGCGUCUAUUUAUUUAGUGGAUCCUUUAAAACAUUUUCGACACAAAAGUUGAUAUCAGAACUUUUGAAAGUUGAAGAUGCGACCGUCAUUAGUUUUUUACCUCGUUAAGAGGCGUUUUGUUUGAUACUUGAUCAGUCUCACUAGACGAGUCGAUUCAAACGGCUUAAUUUUGAAUAAUUUUAGUCGGACCACUAGGUAAUAAGUUGAACCGGUAAGCUAAGUAUGAAAGGGUAUGAAAGUCGUUGCAAGUGACUACAGAG